rnacentral:rRNA from 1 species
AGUGAACGCUGGCGGUAGGCCUAACACAUGCAAGUCGAACGGCAGCACAGUAAGAGCUUGCUCUUACGGGUGGCGAGUGGCGGACGGGUGAGGAAUACAUCGGAAUCUACUUUUUCGUGGGGAUAGCGUAGGGAAACUUACGCUAAUACCGCAUACGACCUACGGGUGAAAGCAGGGGUUCUUCGGACCUUGCGCGAUUGAAUGAGCCGAUGUCGGAUUAGCUAGUUGGCGGGGUAAAGGCCCACCAAGGCGACGAUCCGUAGCUGGUCUGAGAGGAUGAUCAGCCACACUGGAACUGAGACACGGUCCAGACUCCUACGGGAGGCAGCAGUGGGGAAUAUUGGACAAUGGGCGCAAGCCUGAUCCAGCCAUACCGCGUGGGUGAAGAAGGCCUUCGGGUUGUAAAGCCCUUUUGUUGGGAAAGAAAAGCAGCAGGUUAAUACCCCGCUGUUCUGACGGUACCCAAAGAAUAAGCACCGGCUAACUUCGUG